rnacentral:rRNA from 1 species
AGUGAACGCUGGCGGCAGGCCUAAUACAUGCAAGUCGAACGGCAGCACAGCAGAGCUUGCUCUGUGGGUGGCGAGUGGCGGACGGGUGAGGAAUACAUGUGACUCCGCCUAGUGGUGGGGGAUAACGUAGGGAAACUUACGCUAAUACCGCAUGCGCCCUUUGGGGGAAAGCCGGGGACCUUCGGGCCUGGCGCGAUUGGAUGAGCCCAUGUCGGAUUAGCUAGUUGGUGGGGUAAAGGCCCACCAAGGCGACGAUCCGUAGCUGGGCUGAGAGGAUGAUCAGCCACACUGGAACUGAGACACGGUCCAGACUCCUACGGGAGGCAGCAGUAGGGAAUAUUGGACAAUGGGCGCAAGCCUGAUCCAGCCAUGCCGCGUGAGUGAAGAAGGCCUUCGGGUUGUAAAGCUCUUUUGUCCGGAAAGAAAAGCAUCCAGUUAAUACCUGGGUGUCCUGACGGUACCGGAAGAAUAAGCACCGGCUAACUUCGUGCCAGCAGCCGCCGUAAAAC